rnacentral:misc_RNA from 1 species
GAUGAAGAACGUAGCGAAAUGCGAUAAGUAGUGUGAAUUGCAGAAUUCAGUGAAUCAUCGAAUCUUUGAACGCACAUUGCGCCCUUUGGUAUUCCUUAGGGCAUGCCUGUUCGAGCGUCAUUUAAACCUUCAAGCUCAGCUUGGUGAUGGGUGACUGUCCUCCCCUCGCGGGGGGACUCGCCUCAAAAACAUUGGCGGCCGGUAGAUUGGCUUCGAGCGCAGCAGAAACGCGGUCUCGAGCCCGGUGGAUCGGCUCCCAUAAGUCUAUUCUUUUAUUUUGACCUCGGAUCAGGUAGGGAUACCCGCUGAACUUAAGCAUAUCAAUAAGCGGAGGA